rnacentral:lncRNA from 1 species
AUAUCUCAAGGUGGAUGAUUAGUAAGUAGAUGAUGAUGAAUAAACGGUCUACUUGUCUUGGCGUACUGUCCAUUACUAUUGAACCUCUAACUAUCAAGGAAAAUAAUUAGCAUUACGGUCCGAUCAUAAUUCUAUUAAUUGCCCAACUGUGAUUUGUUUACCCAAGCAUAGCUUUUUUAUCCUCUUUUGGGAGAGAGGCAUCACUAGUGAACAUCAUGUGACUCCGGUCCAUAUCACCAUCAUUGUUUACACCUCCAUCAUUUACCGCUUUCAUUUACUUUUCCGUUGCAAUCACUAUUACCUUCCCGCUUGUGUUUUGAUCCAUUGCAAACUACAAGGCUAGAGAGAUUGAAAACCUCUUUGUACUCGUUGGGAGCAAAGUUAUUUGUUGUGUGUGCAGGUCCACGUCUUCUGCUAGCGCCAGGGUGGAAGACACCUACUUGUUGAGCCUAGGCGUCCUCCUGGUUUGAUAAACCUUGCAGUCUCCGUGUAAGGGAAAUUUGUUGCUCACUACAUCUCCACCUUUCACUUGGGGUAACCAACGAGGGGCGAGUAGUAUAUCUAUCAACUCGUCAUCAGUACGACACCUUAUCAUCACAAUCUCAAGAUUCUGCUCCUACUAACAAGCUACACAGAAGACACUCGAAGAUUGGAAUGCGAAUCAGAUCAACCAUUCCAAUAAGUCUACAGAAUCGCAACUCGAGAUCCUGAUAGAUAGUUAAGAAGCCUAGUUCUUAGUCCCUGUAGGAAAGAAGAGGUGACUCAGAAUUAGAAUGACAUGGGAAAAGUAGUAAAAAAAGCCUUACGUUCCCUUCCACAAACAAUUCCCUUAUAUAACUAAAGAGUUGCUAGACUCAACAUCGACCAGUUUAGCUUGGUAAUCCUACAGUCAGUCAAGCUUGGAUAUCAUCGCUGUCGGGACCCCGAUCGUAAGCCAUAAAGAUCUAUCCUGUAACACAUCAUAUAGCUUUGCGGCCUCACGCACAGUGCACAACGGCUGCCACCUUACCUUGGCCCGACUGUUUGCGUCUUUUGGCUCACGUACAUGAAUAUGUCGCUAGCAUCCAUAUGUUAAGAACCCGGGUCCACAUGACUAGUUAUAGACCCAAGUGGGACAAUCGUACACGGACAUGCAUACAUAAACCAACAAUGCAGGUGUUUGUACUCAGCAUGUGUAGGCGAGUCAUAGCAAGCUACAAUGACUCCAUUACACCACGCGACAUUUCCCCGUAGGGACAGCCACAACAACAAAGAAGCAUACAUGUUGGUCAAUCAAUAUGUACAGAGCAGUAGCAAGCUACCAAGGCUAUGUGGAAGCACAAAGAGGCAUUUCCCCUAAAGAAGGCUACUACAGGCAUACAACUAGGCGUCGAAUCCCAAACAUACAAUGCAUUUCAAAGCAUUCACACAAUAUGCACGAUAUGUGUAGAUACAACAUGGCAUCAAAACAUAAUUCUAUGACUCAAGUAUUUAUUAGAGACUCAUAAGGGUCAACAUAGUGUGAUAUUACAAACAGGGGUCACAAGACCCAACACUCAAUUCAUACAAGCAAAAAGCGGAAGCAUAACAUGUCUCGGUACAGACAUCUAGGAAGUAAAAAGACUGAGAAAGCCUGUCUAUAUACAAGACCCUCCAUAGGAACCAGACCUCUAUCUGGGAUUCCCAAGCUACUCGGUUAACAUCGAUCUUAUCGUCGAAACCACUAGCGAGAGUAGAGUCUCCUAUGCAAAAACAUAAAUUAAGCAACAACGAGUACAGAGGUACUCACCAAGACUUACAUCAGAACUAACUACAUAUGUAUCAGUACCAACAAAGGGGGUUGUGGGGUUUAAUGCAGCAAGCCAUCUUUGACUCAGUGGUUAUCCUAUACUACGACUACCAACAGUUUAAUAAUCUGAGAAAGCACACACGAGUCCAGUAGCUAGUGACCACAACAGUAGACCACUACAGAUCCACUUCCGUCUCCCUACGAGAAGCCCAUCUAUAGCACUCACACUUGUCUUGCAUAUUUUACAAUAGCCACUUCAAGUUGUUUAUGACCAUAUAAGUUUCCAAGUAGUCCAUAUGUGCGGAUGCAACUAAUUGAAUAGAUGAUUAUCCUGCAGGGGUGUACUUGUUCACACACGCUCUCACCACUUAUCACCAUAUGCACGUCAUGCAUCUCAGCAACAUUCAAGCGGAAGCACUGGCGUGGAUGUCCGACAUGACCUGACUAACCACACAAGACUCUAGUCCAGGUUUAUCGCCUAUUUGAGACCGAACCCGGAAGGAAGCCCGGCCAAAGUUUCCUCUAUAGCCCUAAACGAUGUGUACAGGGUUUCCCAAUCCCACCUCGACGGUUGUACUAUGCUUGGUACACUGGGCCAUGAUGCCUAGUCUGUCCCAAGCCCACCUGUAUGGGGUGCCACUCGGUAGACUACUAGGAUGACCUACAAACACCAGAAACUAGUUGCAACUCCUGGACACGGGUCUAGGUGAUGAAUAAGUCGGGAGAUUCAAUUAAAGAUCCCAAUGUGCAGUAGUAGCUAGUCUUGGAAAACAUAGACAACACUCAGUUCUUGAGGACGAUCUCAAUGAUACAACCCACCAUGUUCUCCUACAUGGCUCUCAUCUCUACCUUUACCAAAUCGUGUUGACACACUUAGUUUUCAUCAUUAGAACAUGAUGACAUUCAUUCCAAACCAUCACCCAGAUGGAUCAGACCGGACACGACUCUAAGCAUAACUAGCGUGGCAGGGAAAUGCAUAACAUGGCUCAAGCAUGUACGAGGUAUCCUAGGUUGCUUAGUUCAGCUAUUUACUAUGACAAUGACAGUUCAUGCAGAGGAAUGGGUUCAACUACCGUAAUAGGUAACAGUUCAAGCAUAUUGUCCUAAUGCAUUAAAUGAGAGCAAGAUCGAGAUAGUUGGAUUGUAUCAGAGUGCUCAAGGGUGUUUUCUUGCCUGAUAAAACGUCAACAAGUUACUGCUUCUCAGAUGGAUACUCGAUCAUACCCUUCGGAAUAGGACCUAACACGAAGAUACAACCAUCAAAGGGGAACAAAUAAAUACACAUCAAAUGCAACAAUAUUAUGCAUGAAUAUGACAUGGCAAUAUGAUAUGGUUUGGCAUAAUGCACCUAGCAACAGAUUUAAAUGAAGUAGGUUUGAACCCAAGGUUAAAAUUCAACUCUAUAUGUGAGAUUACAUAUUUCAGUUUGAACAAAAUGUCCAAAUUAUCCUAUUUAGGUUUCUCUAUAAUGCAUGCAAAUAGUACAUAUGGAUUCUUUGGAUUUUUCUGAUAAUUUUUCAUAUAUAAUUUAUUUCAUUUGGAUUUAUUGUUGAAUUUCUGUGAAGUUUACAAGUUUUAUCAAUUUUUGCAAUUAUUUAGAAUCGAGAAAUGCAUUUACUGUAUCAGUUAUACGUUAUCAUGAUGUCUAGUGGUCAAUUGGUGGAUGGGCCCCACAUGUCAUAGCCACAGUUUUCUAAGGUUUUUUAAUUAAACCUAACAUCAGUUAAUAGAACCGGUCCCAUAUGUGAUUGGUUCAGGGCUAAUUAGUUGGGUGAUUAGCUCCCAGCUAAUCACCUGACGACGUGGCCCCACCCGCUAGUGGCAUAGGCGGCGGUGUUUGUCGCUGGCAACCUCUGGUCGCCAUGGUGUCCGUGCUACCGGUAAUGCCAGCGGCGGCAGAGACCAUUGGGGCGUAGCCCCUGCUCGCCCGCAUCCGAAGCAGCAGGUUGGGGGCGCAGGGAAUGCCGGAGAUGACGAUAAAGAUGCCGGAGGACGCGGUCGGAGCUCAGCCAGGUCGAGCUCGAGACCACGGUAUCGGGAGGAAGUAGCAGAGGGCGGCUACGGCAUCGUGCGAGAUCACUGAGCAUGCUGGUGUGAUCGGCAGCGAGCCUAGGGGCACUAGCCAUGGCUGCAAGAUGGUCGGCGGCGUGAAGCUCAUGCGCAUGGCAGCUAGUAGGGUUAGGACAGGGGAAUGACGAUGGGGCUAGGGGGAUAAGAACCGGGGGCUCAUACCGGAUGCGCAGACAUUGACGGUGUGAUCGGAGAGGACCCGGACG